UGGGCGGAGCCUGAUCCAGCCAUGCCGCGUGCAGGAAGACUGCCCUAUGGGUUGUAAACUGCUUUUAUACGGGAAGAAUAAGGUCUACGUGUAGACUGAUGACGGUACCGUAAGAAUAAGGACCGGCUAACUCCGUGCCAGCAGCCGCGGUAAUACGGAGGGUCCGAGCGUUAUCCGGAAUUAUUGGGUUUAAAGGGUCCGUAGGCGGGCUGUUAAGUCAGGGGUGAAAGUUUGCAGCUCAACUGUAAAAUUGCCUUUGAUACUGGCGGUCUUGAGUUAUAUUGAAGUGGCUAGAAUAUGUAGUGUAGCGGUGAAAUGCAUAGAUAUUACAUAGAAUACCGAUUGCGAAGGCAGGUCACUAAGUAUUAACUGACGCUGAUGGACGAAAGCGUGGGUAGCGAACAGGAUUAGAUACCCUGGUAGUCCACGCCGUAAACGAUGGAUACUAGCUGUGUGGUUUUCGGACUGCGCGGCCAAGCGAAAGUGAUAAGUAUCCCACCUGGGGAGUACGUUCGCAAGAAUGAAACUCAAAGGAAUUGACGGGGGCCCGCACAAGCGGUGGAGCAUGUGGUUUAAUUCGAUGAUACGCGAGGAACCUUACCAGGGCUUAAAUGUAGAUUGACAGGUUUAGAGAUAGACUUUCCUUCGGGCAAUUUACAAGGUGCUGCAUGGUUGUCGUCAGCUCGUGCCGUGAGGUGUCAGGUUAAGUCCUAUAACGAGCGCAACCCCUGUCGUUAGUUGCCAGCAUGUCAUGAUGGGGACUCUAACGAGACUGCCGGUGCAAACCGUGAGGAAGGUGGGGAUGACGUCAAAUCAUCACGGCCCUUACGUCCUGGGCCACACACGUGCUACAAUGGCCGGUACAGAGAGCAGCCACUUGGCAACAAGGAGCGAAUCUAUAAAACCGGUCACAGUUCGGAUCGGGGUCUGCAACUCGACCCCGUGAAGCUGGAAUCGCUAGUAAUCGGAUAUCAGCCAUGAUCCGUGAAUACGUUCCCGGGCUUGUACACACGCCGUCAAGCAUGAAGCCGGAGUGCUGAAGUCGUCACGUAGAGCGGCUAGGCAGAUCGGUACU
rnacentral:rRNA from 1 species